UACGUAGGGGGCCAGCGUUGUUCGGAAUCACUGGGCGUAAAGGGCGUGUAGGCGGUCAAGUAAGUGGAAUGUGAAAGCCCCCGGCUUACCCGGGGAUCUGCAUCCCAAACUGCUUGGCUUGAGUACGGGAGAGGAUAGGGGAAUUCCUGGUGUAGCGGUGAAAUGCGUAGAUAUCAGGAGGAACACCGGUGGCGAAGGCGCCUAUCUGGCCCGAUACUGACGCUGAGGCGCGAAAGCUAGGGGAGCAAACGGG
rnacentral:rRNA from 1 species